rnacentral:rRNA from 1 species
AUAGAUACCCUAGUAUGUGGUAAGAAUUUGGAUUAUUAUAUUAAGAAAUUUAAAAUUUUUGGCGGUUAAUUUUAUAUUAGAGGAGCUUGUUUUAGAAGUAACUCUUUAUAUUUUAUUGGUUUUUGUUUAUUUAUUGCCGUUAUUAGAAUUUUGUUUGUAAAAAAUUUAGGUUUUGAAUUUCAGGUCAAGAUGUAGCAUUUACUCAUUUCUUUUUGAUUAGCUACAAUUAUGAAGUAAAAGUUGGUUAUUCAUUUUGUUAAUUUAUUAUAAAUUGAAUUUAAUUGUAUCUUUUUCUAGAAAGAGAGUGGGAAUUUCUUAAAAUUAAUGUACAGAUUGCCCGUCACUUCUGUUGCUGAAGAUGGAAUAAGUCGUAACAAA